rnacentral:rRNA from 1 species
UACGUAGGGUGCGAGCGUUGUCCGGAAUUAUUGGGCGUAAAGAGCUCGUAGGCGGACUGUCGCGUCGAUCGUGAAAACUUGGGGCUUAACCCUGAGCUUGCGGUCGAUACGGGCAUGACUGGAGUUCGGCAGGGGAGACUGGAAUUCCUGGUGUAGCGGUGAAAUGCGCAGAUAUCAGGAGGAACACCGGUGGCGAAGGCGGGUCUCUGGGCCGAUACUGACGCUGAGGAGCGAAAGCGUGGGGAGCGAACAGG